rnacentral:rRNA from 1 species
GACGAACGCUGGCGGCGUGCUUAACACAUGCAAGUCGAACGGGCCCGCUCUCUUUUUUGGGGGUGGGUUGAGUGGCGAACGGGUGAGUAUCACGUGAGUAACCUGCCCCCUGCUCCUGGAUAACUGCUUGAAAGGGCGGCUAAUACGGGGUGUGCCGGCUGGUCCGCAUGGGCCUGGUCGGGAUAGUUUCAUCUUCGGGUGUUUCGGUGGGGGAUGGGCUCGCGGCCUAUCAGCUUGCUGGUGGGGUGAUGGCCCACCAAGGCGGUGACGGGUAGCCGGCCUGAGAGGGUGGGCGGCCACACUGGGACUGAGACACGGCCCAGACUCCUGCGGGAGGCAGCAGUGGGGGGUAUUGCACAAUGGACGGAAGCCUGAUGCAGCGACGUCGCGUGAGGGAUGGAGGCCUUCGGGUUGUGAACCUCUUUCUCCGGUGGUGAAGGCCCUGUCCGUUGCGGCGGGGUUGACGGUAGCCGGGUAUGAAGCGCCGGCUAACUACGUG